rnacentral:misc_RNA from 1 species
GAUGAAGAACGUAGCGAAAUGCGAUACUUGGUGUGAAUUGCAGAAUCCCGUGAACCAUCGAGUCUUUGAACGCAAGUUGCGCCCGAAGCCUCGGCUAAGGGCACGUCUGCCUGGGCGUCACGCAUCGCGUCUCCCCCAAACCGCCAAGGCGGAGGGGAAGGAAGAUGGCUUCCCGUGCCUCACCCGGGCGCGGUUGGCCUAAAUUUGGAGCCCGCGGCACUUAGCUCUCGCGGCGAUAGGUGGUGAACAAGGCCUUGGCCGUGCAAACAACCCGCUGCGAAGCUCUAUGUCACGUGCGCUCGUCGGACCCUUUGAAGUUGCCUUCGGUGACUUAAAACCUUUGCGACCCCAGGUCAGGCGGGGCUACCCGCUGAAUUUAAGCAUAUCAAUAGCGGAGGA